ACGGGUGAGUAACGCGUGAGCAACCUGCCCUUCGGAACGGGAUAGUGUCUGGAAACGGCUGCUAAUACCGCAUAAGCGCACGAGGAGACAUCUCCUUGUGUGAAAAACUCCGGUGGUACAGGAUGGGCCCGCGUCUGAUUAGCUGGUUGGCAGGGUAACGGCCUACCAAGGCAACGAUCAGUAGCCGGUCUGAGAGGAUGAACGGCCACAUUGGAACUGAGACACGGUCCAAACUCCUACGGGAGGCAGCAUG
rnacentral:rRNA from 1 species